UGUGAUGACAACGACCGAAAUAGUUUUGCUGCAGCUACCAAGGUCAAAGUUGGCAAUGGCUUGCGUGCCAAGUUUUGGGAGUCUCCUUGGCUAGAUGGGAUUAGGCCCAAAGACAUGGCCCCUAAAAUAUAUGAGUUGUCGAAGAAGAAGAAUUGCUCAGUUCGAAUGGCUCUGCACGGCAACUUCUGGACUUCCCAGGUGGACAUCCUUCGCGGUUUCACUGUCGAGCACCUCUCUGAGUUUGUCACCCUUUGGGAGAAGGUCUCGCAUAUUCACCUCAACAUGGACACGCCCGACACUAUCACCUGGAAGUUCACCACUGAUGGACACUACUCGGUGACGUCAGCCUACAAGGCGCAGUUCUUUGGCCAUACUGACACUGAGAUGGUAUCGACCGUUUGA
rnacentral:rRNA from 1 species